rnacentral:rRNA from 1 species
CGAGGAGCUUGCUCCUCUGACGUUAGCGGCGGACGGGUGAGUAACACGUGGAUAACCUACCUAUAAGACUGGGAUAACUUCGGGAAACCGGAGCUAAUACCGGAUAAUAUAUUGAACCGCAUGGUUCAAUAGUGAAAGACGGUUUUGCUGUCACUUAUAGAUGGAUCCGCGCCGCAUUAGCUAGUUGGUAAGGUAACGGCUUACCAAGGCAACGAUGCGUAGCCGACCUGAGAGGGUGAUCGGCCACACUGGAACUGAGACACGGUCCAGACUCCUACGGGAGGCAGCAGUAGGGAAUCUUCCGCAAUGGGCGAAAGCCUGACGGAGCAACGCCGCGUGAGUGAUGAAGGUCUUCGGAUCGUAAAACUCUGUUAUUAGGGAAGAACAAAUGUGUAAGUAACUAUGCACGUCUUGACGGUACCUAAUCAGAAAGCCACGGCUAACUACGUGCCAGCAGCCGCGGUAAUACGUAGGUGGCAAGCGUUAUCCGGAAUUAUUGGGCGUAAAGCGCGCGUAGGCGGUUUUUUAAGUCUGAUGUGAAAGCCCACGGCUCAACCGUGGAGGGUCAUUGGAAACUGGAAAACUUGAGUGCAGAAGAGGAGAGUGGAAUUCCAUGUGUAGCGGUGAAAUGCGCAGAGAUAUGGAGGAACACCAGUGGCGAAGGCGACUUUCUGGUCUGUAACUGACGCUGAUGUGCGAAAGCGUGGGGAUCACACAGGAUUAGAUACCCUGGUAGUCCACGCCGUACACGAUGAGUGCUAAGUGUUAGGUGGUCUCCGCCCCUUAGUGCUGCAGCUAACGCAUUAAGCACUCCGCCUGGCGAGUACGACCGCGAGGUUGAAACUCAAAGGAAUUGACGGGGACCCGCACAAGCGGU